rnacentral:rRNA from 1 species
UGGGGAAUUUUGCACAAUGGGGGAAACCCUGAUGCAGCGACGCCGCGUGAUUUAGAAGGCCUUCGGGUUGUAAAAAUCUUUUCUAUGGGAAGAAAAUGACAGUACCAUAGGAAUAAGGACUGGCUAAUUACGUGCCAGCAGCCGCGGUAAUACGUAAGGUCCGAGCGUUGUCCGGAAUCAUUGGGCGUAAAGGGUACGUAGGCGGGUAAGCAAGUUAGAAGUGAAAUCCUAUAGCUCAACUAUAGUAAGCUUUUAAAACUGCUCAUCUUGAGGUAUGGAAGGGAAAGUGGAAUUCCUAGUGUAGCGGUGAAAUGCGCAGAUAUUAGGAGGAAUACCGGUGGCGAAGGCGACUUUCUGGCCAUAUACUGACGCUGAGGUACGAAAGCGUGGGUAGCAAACAGG